CAACAAUUCUCCACCAAACCCUAACUGGAAGGUUUAUGACAUUGUGAAGAUCGUUGGACCAUCAAUUGGAGACUAUGAUCAAGCAAAUCAAUACAUCUCAGAUUACACAACGGGGGUCUCAGCAGCAGAGGACUAAAUUACUUAUUCAAUGACAGACCCUGCAGUUGUGGAAUUACCUGAGAAGAGAAAAAGGAAAAAUAAGCUCUGUGAUGAAAGUGACAUCAAUUCAGAGACAUCUUCCUGUGAAGAUUAUAUGAACUUGAAGCAGUCAGGAAAUGAAGUGAAGCAAUCUGGUCUGAAGUCAAGAAAUGUCCCACUGCCCAAACCUCCUAUAUACCAUGAUACUCUUCAGAGAAGUGGGGAAAAAAGAUUAGGAUGAUCCCAAGCCCACAAGCUCUGAUGUCUCAGAAUUUCAUGAUGUUCAACAACAUCACAUGACUUAUAAAGAAAUUACAGUGCAAACCAGGAUACCAGAUGAUGUGCAUUUAAAGAAGUCAAGAAAUGCAAUGAAGCGAGUUGUUCUGAAGACAAAGAAUGUUCAGCUGGCCAAAACUCCCAGAUACCAUGGUAAGCUUGUGUUUUAACUUAUCUAAGGAACUUAGCAGAAUCAGCUUUAUAAUUUUAUUUGCAGAUUUUGAAUGUCUUAUGUCUUUUCUUGAAAGUAGUCAAGAGUCCACUUAUUCAGAAAGCUCUGUGUGUCAAAACAUCUGGUGAGUAUGAAACACUUUUUCUCUUAAAUUGAAUCUGGUUAAGCUAAUUUGAUCAUUCUAAUUCACAUUGUUCAGGUGACUGUCUGGAUGAUAACAAUGAAAGC